rnacentral:rRNA from 1 species
GACGAACGCUGGCGGCGUGCUUAACACAUGCAAGUCGAACGGAAAGGCCCUGCUUUUGUGGGGUGCUCGAGUGGCGAACGGGUGAGUAACACGUGAGUAACCUGCCCUUGACUUUGGGAUAACUUCAGGAAACUGGGGCUAAUACCGGAUAGGAGCUCCUGCUGCAUGGUGGGGGUUGGAAAGUUUCGGCGGUUGGGGAUGGACUCGCGGCUUAUCAGCUUGUUGGUGGGGUAGUGGCUUACCAAGGCUUUGACGGGUAGCCGGCCUGAGAGGGUGACCGGCCACAUUGGGACUGAGAUACGGACCAGACUCCUACGGGAGGCAGCAGUGGGGAAUAUUGCACAAUGGGCGGAAGCCUGAUGCAGCAACGCCGCGUGCGGGAUGACGGCCUUCGGGUUGUAAACCGAUUUCGCCUGUGACGAAGAGUGAGUGACGGUAAUGGGUAAAGAAGCACCGGCUAACUACGUG